rnacentral:misc_RNA from 1 species
AUAGUUAACGGAGUCAAGUUACAGGGAUUAGUUAAUAUGUUUUUCUAAUUUCAUUAAAAUAGAGAGACUAAAUAAUAAUUUGAUUAGUAGUAACUUACGGAAAAAUUGAUGAAGGGAUUAAAAGGUUUAACGAAAGCAAAGUAUGGGGACUAAAUAAUUAGUUGCGUUAAAAUAUAGGGAUUAAAUAGUAAUUUACCAUCGUAAAAAAUUGAUGAUAUAGAAAAUUCUUAAGAAAAUCUUACAUGGAAUAACGGCUUCAUUAUAUAAUUUUGCCUUGAUAAGCCUAAACCAUUGCAAAACCAAGUGCUAAAAAGAGUGAUGUUAGGGAUCUGCAAGUCGGGCAUGAAAAAAUUACAGAUCAAAUAUUUGUAACAAGAAUGUCUUUCAUCAUCUUGGAACAAUUUAUUACUUACUAUUUGAACUAAUUGUUUCCAUAUGGAUUGAAACAG